AGUGUUGUUCAUAUAUCUAUUGGAUUUAUAUAUGUACAUAUAAUAUGUUCACUAACAUUACUCCAAUUUUGACAAAGCUAGCAGUGAAGCUUUUUUGUAGCUGCCUUCCUGCCUAGUAUGUAGACAAUCUGCACAUUCUUUAGUGUGUUUUGUUCACCAUUAAAUUAUGCCAUACACUAUGUUAAAAAGUGUAGUAUCUGUUUAAUUAUGCUCAGAGAAAGAGCUCUUGUAGGGUCUGAAUUUUUACAAAGUCAAUUUUUUCCCUUGCUCUGUCAACCACUUUAAAAUUUCACCCAGUUAGAAUUAGAAUACAUACAGGCAGCCCAUGUCAUUUGGUUUUGGCAAUUUUGAAUUCUCAGCAAUACUUACACUGUCACUCCAUAAUAAAUCCAUUCUAUACUACUUUGCUUUCCAUUAACUUCUUUUGUUUAGUAAAGUCUCCCUUUUUUGAGGGGUUAAGGGCUGUUCACUAUUUUUAGUUAUUUCAGGAGUGGGGAGACUCAGCAACAAUAAAUACUGACCUUCAACACAUGCCCAGUAACAAGAGGUCUGUUCCUAAAAAAUGCUUCUACUGGCAGGUUUUGUGGAGCACACGUUACUAUACAUAUUUCAGUACUGAAGAUGUUGUACUGAUGGAUUCACAGUUGACAAAGCAGGCCCAUAGCUAGCAAGCACAAAUCUACCCCACACAAAGUUCCUUUCAUACAAUCAAGCUGAAUUAUUGCUCCUGCCUUGUAGCAGCAUGAGCCCAAAUCCCAUACAAAUUGCAACAUUUCUUGAACAUGGACAGAGAGCCUGUGUUUGUGCAAAGACUGAUUACGUGAUGGCUCAAAACUUCUACCAGAGCAUGUGAAAAUGUGCACUCAGUGAUGCAUUUGUUCUAACGUGUAGUUAAACUGUUUAUUCAGAUUUCAUUUUUUGUGUGCAUUUGUUCUAUAGCAGGAGUGAAGUCUUUCUCCCCUCCCUUUUGAGUCUUCUGAGCUCUUGAUCUAUCCAUGUUACUAGUGCCUGGGAUAGAGAAGAAAAGGUUCAAAUUCUGUGCAAGUCCCUCUCAGAGAAGAAGAUUCCAUAGAUCUUCAUUGAAAGAACACAGUUCUUUGCCUCAUGAGCUCCCACCGCUUUCCUUCUGAAUCAAUUGUAGCUUUGUCUGAUCCCUAAAGUUCUAAAUAGAAAUCCCAACUCUGUGAGGAGGAGGCUUUAGAUACCAUAAUCCUCACUGAAAGCAAGCCCAACUCUUGCAACUUCUAAGUAAAGUACUGGCAUUGCCUUUCUUCUCCUACCUAGAAGCCCAAAUCCCACACUAAGCCAUCAGAUUCCUAGUAAAGUCCUUCCCCCAAACUUCCCUUGUUGCACUAUGAUUUACUUCACAGUUCCCUUUGUCAGUGAGACUCUUUAGAAAGAGUUUGCCACCAUGGAAUAUCCCUAACUCCUAAUCUGAUGGAUGUCUUCUGGGGAGGUUGUGAGCAGACUACUCCGCUCCCAAGACAGUGUAGAGAGGAACUGGGAGCACAAUACACUGACCACACUAGCAAAAGAAAGUGUACCCAAGGUUUUGUUAGACUUUGGUCAGCCAAUAACUAGACAGUUGCUGUAUGUAGGACUUUUAGCUCUAAAACUUUGCAAGCAGGAGUGUAGUGUUUUUAUUAGAAACUAUACUCUUCAAGUAGUAUGUACUACUGCAGGCGAUCUGAGGAAUGGAAUAUACAUACAUUUAAAGGGAGAUGGUUGUGAUUUUUAGCUUGUCAACUUUAACAGUGUCUCUUCAGACUGCAAGUAGCAAAGAGAUUUAGUAACAAGAAAAUAAAUAUUUCAUAAGAUGGUUGAUGUCACCGGAAGGAGUUGGUUCUACUAGGGGUUUCUUUAUUUCACUUACAUUUACUGUUAUUGUGGGCAAGCUACAGUGUAAGAAUAAGUUACCAUAUCCUGGGCAAAAUUCCAGGUUGAGUCGUUGGUGCCACAAAUAAGUUAUUAGCUCCGAACAAACUCUUGCCAAACCGAUUACUGUUUAACUGUAGAGCUGCAAACAAAGUUAACAUUUUGAUCAACAGUGGAGAUUUGGGAAGCAGCUUAAAAAAUAUCCUGCUCCUUGUGCCCCUCAAAGCAUUACACUUCUGACGCACACUUUGAACGAGAUAAAGGUAGUUAGCGUUGCAGCAUCGUAGGAGCACGGUUAAUGGGGGAGAUUGGGAGUCAGUAAUAUAAACCUUGUUUAUAUUUCCUACACUGCCACUGACUGGCUUUGUGACCUCAGGGAAGUUCCUUAACUUGUGUUCCAGUUUCUCAACCUUUACAAUUAGGAUACUCUUACCUAGUUCUACAAAAGCUGUGCCCAUCCAACGGUCCCCACUCAGAAAGAUUUCCCUAGCUGAGAGAUGCUGGCCUUUAGUCCUGACUCACUUGUGAUAGUGGUAGGCUGUCCCAUUGUACACUAGUUUGGAUGGAUGGUGUGCUGUAAUUUGGUACAACUAUGCUGCUCCAUUUGGCCCGUCCUACACUGGGACGUACCAGUGCCAUUCCCUUCUAUUCAGGAUUGCUGCAGCCCAAUUCUGCUGUGUCACUGCCACAUGUGGGGUAAAGGGCCUGUUACAGUGGGAAUGCAAGAGAUGGUUCCAUGCUCACAUCACUACAUGGUGUAUGGGCAGCUGCAAGUCUAGUAGGAGUGAGCACACACUGAGAUUUGAAGCUGUGCCAUAGGUCCUUCCCCUUUAGGGGAGGGGCACACAAGACAACAGUAGCCUGAGUCAGGCUCUGGCUUGGAGCCCAAGGUGUAGCUUGUUGUGCAGUUCCUAUGGAGAUGGGGGAGUACUGACCCUCAUCCAACGCAGCAGUAAUUCCAGCCUUCAUUGCAGAUCUCCAGCGGCUUGUUCAGAAGGAAAAGCAAGACGUAUCCUCUCUGGAGGAGGCUCUAACAAAGCUGGUGUAAUCAAGUAUCACUAAUGCGAUGAUGACCACAGCUUACGUAACACCAAGUCCCCACACUGUUAAACAAUGGCAACUAGAGAGUUUAGGACUCCUUGCAGAAAACACAGUGAAGUCCAUCAGAGUGUCUUCCAGUAAAAUCCAGACCACUGGGAGCUUGAACACAAGGUUCAGCACUUGGACACCUAUCGCAAACAAAUCAUUCAACAAGCAGCUCUUUGAGGAAAGAGUUAGUCUCAUAAGCCAUUGGUUUGAUCUGUGGACAGACAAGCAGCGCAAACAAUUCCUCCACACAAUGUUGAUGAGAUGCAGUAAAUCACAACUGAAAUUUACCCAAAACUGGUUUGCAGAGAGGAUUCCAGUGACCAAAGUGGAUUUCACCAGAGUGCUGCCACGUUUCAUAUCUCUAUACAUCUUCUCCUUUCUCAGCCCCAGGGAGCUGUGUGCAGCUGCCCAAGUCAGCUGGCACUGGAAGUUUAUAACCGAACAGGACUGUUUGUGGGUGCCAAAAUGUGUUAAGUUUGGAUGGUUCCUGCCCUACACUCCAGCAGACAACGAAUACAGUGCUUGGAAGCGACAUUAUAUUGCCUGUGCAUCAAGCUUAGAUUACUUCACCCCAAGAGAAGCCACUGAAAUCUAUGGGACCCUCAAUGAACCAAAACCUGAAAAUGAGGAGAAGGAAGAAAGGCUACGCGAAAAAUGGCUACGAAAAAUUAUUCGGGAGAGAUUAGCAUUACACAAGAAGGAGUUAUUCAAAGCUCGACUGCCUUGGAUGAGUGGGACUUGGAGCUCGAGAUUCUUAAAAUCGCGAUUACAGCCAAGUCAGGCGCAGACGAUCCAGGACGGGGCUAGACUACAGGCAAUUUUGCAACUAAUUAAGGAAAAGAGUGCUCUUUCAAAUCAUACUCUUUCAAUGCUGCUUUCUGAAGAAAUGAAACCUGUAUCAAACUUUAAUCUAGCAGCAGAAAAACAGCUUGUUUUGGCCUCCUUAAAAACUUUGCCCAAAAGAAAGAAUGUGACUGGAAGCAGAUCUGACCUUGUGUUACCUUACAAACAGUGUCAGUGUGUCUACCAAAAACAUAGCAGUUUUGCAUAUCCACUUGAGCCAUACCUGGUUUUGAUAUCAUCCAGGAUUCCUGCAUAUGAGAUGGUGCUGGACAGCAUCAAACCUGGGGUGAUUUCUGUGUUGUAUGAACAUUGCGGAAUGACAUUGGAAAGCCUCCUUUUUUACAUAGAAAAGGCUCUGGAUGGCCGAAAAGCAAAGAGUAUAGGGAUUUUUAGUGAUGGAAACUCCAGAGAGAUCAAUUUACUUCAAGGCUGCAGAAUCAGUAUUGAGAACAUUCUGAGUCCUGAAGUGAGAGAAUUUUGGGAGAAGCUAGGUUGUGUAAUGUCUCCAGAGGAAGGUGGUUAUGUGGACAUCUUUGUUCCUCUGGCAGCAUCAGAGGCAGGGAUAGAAGUCCUUUCCCAGCUGACUCAGCUAACUGGUGUGCUCUUCAGAACCCCCACAGGAAUUGCAACUGGAUCUUAUCAGCACAUCCUUAGUGAAUGGCUGGGAAAACAGAAGGAUGGACCUCCCACCUCCACCUACUUCACUGAAGUAAAACUACAGACAUGGCUCAGAAUGACAGAGCUCCUGGAGGACGCACUGAAAUCUGUCCGGAAGCAGAUGCGACCAUAUUUAAGUGAGCUGCAGAAGAGUAUUAGUGACAGGAUUAUUGGUCAGUUUAUGUUUGAUGCCAUGAGCAGAGCUAAAGUACAUACUAAUCGAGAAACAGCCCAGACUUUCACUGAAGGAUUAGCUGAAUUGUCAAAACGAAGCUAUGAGGAGGAUGCAAAAGAGGCUGCCACCCAGAGCCAAAAGCCUAACUGCCACAUCAGAGCAAAUGAGCCAACAUUUGAGGCGGUGGCUCAGUUGGAUAAAAAACUUCAGGGGGACACCGCAGACAGACGAACUAGAAUUGCCAGGGAGCUCCUGACAAGUGAGAAGAACUAUGUACACAUGCUGGAAACUGUGAGGGAUGUUUAUGUUACACCACUGAAAGCAGCAUUAGCAUCCAAUCGAGCCAUCCUAAGUCAUGCUAAUGUUCAAAUCAUCUUCUCUGAUAUCUUGGAUGUCUUACAACUCAAUAGGCAGUUUUUAAAUGAGCUGACAGAAAGACUUCGGGAAUGGAGUCCAUCCCAGUGCUUGGGUGAAAUAUUCACUCAAUUUGGCUGGCAGCUUCAAACAUAUACAAACUUCUUCAACAACUACACUGUCAUUCUGAAAACCAUUGAUAUGUGCAGAGAGACCAUUCCUUUAUUCCGUGCCUUCCUGAAAAGACACGAUAAGACUGUCGUUACUAACAUGAUGAGCCUACAGGAGCUGCUGCUAUGUCCUUCUAAAAGGUUUGAAGAGUAUCUUAAUCUUCUUUAUGCUCUGAGACUGCACACUCCUUCAGAACACGCUGACCAUGAAGAUUUGACUGCUGCAAUCAAGAUGAUGAAACAAUACAAGGAAUACAUAGAUCAGCUAAAACUGAACAUGAGCAAAGAUGAGCAAAUGCUAAAUGCACAAAGAAUCAUCCAGGGAUGUCCUAAUUUAUUAGAAGCCAACAGGUACCUGAUUAGAAUACAAGAUGUAACCCAGUUUAGCUGCUGUUCUGAGGAAAUCUGUGUUUCAUUCAGGGUCUAUGAACACAUCAGCAAUCUUAGCCUUUUUCUUUUCAACGAUGCACUUGUUAUUUCAAACCGUAGCAUCUCUUAUAUGCCAUUUGAACGGACCCCAAAAACAACUUACCAGUUCUUGGCAGCAGUAGCGCUUCACAGGCUUGUUAUAGAAGACAUUCCACGUUCAAAAUAUAUCACGAAUGCAUUUAUUCUACAAGGCCCAAAACGCCAAUGGAUUUGUUCUAUAGAGGAUGAAGAUGAUAAAUUUACAUGGCUGUCUGCACUGCAAAGUGCAAUCAACUGUAGCAUUGAGAAGAAAUGAGAUUCAUCUUAGUGUUUAGGAUGCCCAAUUUCUGUAGUAUGUGCUAAUUAUUUGUGAACAGAUAUUUUGUGCAGUCUCCUACUCCGAGAAACUUUUGUUCAAAUUUUGCAUCAUUACCAAGAAGUUAGCAUUCCUUUUGAGAGAGUACUAUCAUGUGUGCGCCUCAGACUGCAGGAACUUAUGGUAGAAUCAACACUCGUCAACCUGUAGCUGAAACUGAAAUCACCCAACAAGGACUACUGUAGAAGGUAUUUAAGCAGCAUAGUAGCAAAAAUAGUGUACAUCUCUUUGAACGGAUAAAACCUACCCUUCCCAAAGUGCUCUUCUGGAGUUCAACUGAAACAGCAGGAAGGUGAAAGACAAAAAAAGGCAGAUGGAAUAUUGGAGGCUAAAGGCUACACAACAAUUCAGAAUUGAACAGUGUGAGAGGAGAAACCCUGAGCAAUACCAAGGUGUGCUGGAGCAAAAUGUUGGUUCAUUGCUUGCGAGUGUUGUAGUGAUUGAUACCAAUGGAAGAGUGCCUUCAAGCACAAAAGUAGUACACCAAAUCAUUUAAAGCACUCCUGGACGUAUCUUGGGUUUUUUUAGCGUACAGCUUGUUAAUUUUAACCUUUUGUUUUUAAAAUAGUUUGGGAAUUACACAAUGGUCUCC